UUUGGUAGGACGUGGCAUGCUCAAUAGGUGGG
rnacentral:scRNA from 1 species